UACGUAGGGUGCAAGCGUUGUCCGGAAUUAUUGGGCGUAAAGAGCUCGUAGGCGGUCUGUCGCGUCUGCUGUGAAAACUCAGGGCUUAACCCUGAGCUUGCAGUGGGUACGGGCAGACUAGAGUGCGGUAGGGGAGACUGGAAUUCCUGGUGUAGCGGUGAAAUGCGCAGAUAUCAGGAAGAACACCCGUGGCUAAGGCGGUUCUCUAGUACGGUACUGACGA
rnacentral:rRNA from 1 species